UCAAAAAUAAAUAAACAGAGCACUAACAACCUCAAAAUAUUAAUAGUGGUGAUCCAUUAAUAAAGUACUAAGUACAUUUCUCCAAACAGAGUCAAAAUAAUCAAAACUUAAAAUUCGAAACAACCUAGAUGGUGAAAGACAAUACUCUCAUCACACUAGCCCUGAAUCACCCCUGCAAACCUGCCGGAAGAAAAACACAUCAUGAGCCAAUUGCCCAGUACGGAUACAGAUAUACAAAAGAUAUACAACUGAUAUACGAAAAUAACUGAGACAAAAUACUGAACAAAGCCUCGAGUGCAAAUACGAACGAAAAUAUAAUAUACAAAGAUCUGAAUGGAAUAUAUCUGAAUCAACAUAAUUGACGAAACCAAUAAAAGAAUAAAGAAAUAACGAACAGAAGUAACUAACUCAAUGACUUGAACUGAACAGAAACCAACAAAACUGAUCCAAUAAAAUAAUAGGCUGAAACAAAUGGUUGGAGUUAUUUCAUACCGAAUGAGCUCAGAAUAUACCUUUCCACACAGGCAAGUCAAAAUAAUGUCACACCGACAAAUCAAAUGAUGCCACAUAGGCAACCAAAAUAAUGCCACACAGGCAAAUCAAAAUAAUGCCACACAUGCAAGUCAAAAUAAUGCCACACAUGCAAUCACACAUUGGACCGCGAAUCCAAAUGUAUGAAAAUCGGAUAGUGUGUUUGGCACAACAUCACCAAUCCGCAGUACAGAAAACUAGGGUUAACCCAUACGCCUCCCACAACAAAACACCAAAUGGCCCACUACCUCCGGAGCCCAAAACGGAGACGCUGUGGACUAAUCACACCGCCACGGAAAGUGUCAUGUCACUCGUGCCAAGACGGCAUGCCUGUGGUACCCCCACAGGUGGUUAUAGCUCUGGUAUACCCUACGGUAUAUUGUAACAAAAUACCUUGUCCCAACACAUACGACAUAAUACCAACAAAAAGGGUUCUAUAUGUACAUGUUGAACCAAAUCAAAUUAUAGUCACAAUGUCUCAAAAAGAAGGUAGCAACAUGUACCGCUCUAGAAUUAUUAAAAAUAAAUAUUAAACAUGAUAACCUAAUUCAAAGAGUACAAAUACGAGUCCAAUGUGUCAACUCCAAAAUGAAAGUAAUGUAUGAAUUUCACAGGAAACAAUUAUGUGAAAUCAUAACAGAAUUCGAAACAAGGGACAAGACGAACAAAUCAAAUUUAACAAGAGUCUCGCUGAACAAAUCAUGGAAUAUGUACCAAUUUUAAUAGAAGGAAAUUAGUUUAAAUUACUGAAUACAACCAAAGUAUCAAUUAUCAAAUUUCUAUUUAAGAAUUCCAAUAGGAUUAUAAGAAAAUAAAUGACGAUAUAUCACGAGAUACAAAGAAUGCAACUACAAUCAAAGGAGUGGAGUACGGAAUCCGUACCUGAUACUUCCAAGCCAUUUAUAGCACACUCCACAAAAUUUUACCCUCAAUUGCCAACGACAUCAAAUACAAAUCGUUAUUCGCAACCUAAACAUAUUCACCUCAAAUUAAAAACAAUCCAAACUAAUAAUUCCAAAGUAAUUCAUA
rnacentral:lncRNA from 1 species